UGGGCGUAAAGCGCGCGUAGGCCGGUUGGUAAAGUCGAAGGUGAAAUCCUCGGGCUCAACUCGAGAAUUGCCUUCGAUACUGGCAAACUAGAGUGNCGGAGAGGAAAGCGGAACUCUUGGUGUAACGGUGGAAUGUGUAGAUAUCAAGAGGAACACCGGUGGCGAAGGCGGCUUUCUGGACGCACACUGACGCUCAGGCGCGAAAGCGUGGGUAGCAAACAGGAUUAGAUACCCUGGUAGUCCACGCCAUAAACGAUGGGUACUCGGUGUCGGGGGUAUCGACCCCUCCGGUGCCGCAGUUAACGCACUAAGUACCCCGCCUGGGGAUUAUGGUCGCAAGGCUGAAACUCAAAGGAAUUGACGGGGCCCCGCACAAGCGGUGGAGCAUGUGGUUUAAUUCGACGCAACGCGAAGAACCUUACCUGGGCUUGACAUGCUUGGGACAGCGCUGGAAACAGCGUCUCUCCUUCGGGAGCCCUUGCACAGGUGCUGCAUGGCUGUCGUCAGCUCGUGUCGUGAGAUGUUGGGUUAAGUCCCGCAACGAGCGCAACCCUCGUUACUAGUUGCCAUCAGUUCGGCUGGGCACUCUAGUGAGACUGCCGGUGAUAAACCGGAGGAAGGUGAGGAUGAUGUCAAGUCAUCAUGGCCCUUACGCCCAGGGCUACACACGUGCUACAAUGGUCGGCACAAAGGGUCGCUAAGCCGCGAGGUGGAGCUAAUCCCAAAAAGCCGGCCUCAGUUCGGAUUGGAGUCUGCAACCCGACUCCAUGAAGGCGGAAUCGCUAGUAAUCGCGGAUCAGCAUGCCGCGGUGAAUAUGUUCCCGGGGCUUGUACACACCGCCCGUCAUAUCACCCGAGUCGGGGAUACCCGAAGUCCGUGACCCAACCAUUUGGAGGGAGCGGCCGAAGGUGUG
rnacentral:rRNA from 1 species